CCUACGGGAGGCAGCAGUGGGGAAUAUUGCACAAUGGGGGAAACCCUGAUGCAGCGACGCCGCGUGAGUGAAGAAGCGCCUCCGCGCGUAAAGCUCUGUCAGCAGGAACGAUAAUCACGGUACCUGAAGACCAAUCCCCGGCUAACUCCGUGCCAGCAGCCGCGGUACUACGGAGGGGGCAAGCGUUAUCCGGAUUGACUGGGUGUAAAGGGAGCGUAGAGGGCGGGGCAGGUCUGGAGUGAAAGGCCCGGGCCCAACCCCGGGACCGCUCUGGAAACUGGCGGGCUGGAGUGCGGGAGAGGUAAGCGGAAUUCCUAGUGUAGCGGUGAAAUGCGUAGAUAUUAGGAGGAACACCAGCGGCGAAGGCGGCUUACUGGACCGGGACUGACGUUGAGGCUCGAAAGCGUGGGGAGCAAACAGGAUUAGAUACCCUUGUAGUC
rnacentral:rRNA from 1 species